AAGCGUCCUCAGCGGCGGACCGGGCCCAAGUCCCCUGGAAAGGGGCGCCGGAGAGGGUGAGAGCCCCGUUGUGCUCGGACCCUGUCGCACCACGAGGCGCUGUCGGCGAGUCGGGUUGUUUGGGAAUGCAGCCCCAAUCGGGCGGUAAAUUCCGUCCAAGGCUAAAUAUUGGCGAGAGACCGAUAGCGAACAAGUACCGCGAGGGAAAGAUGAAAAGGACUUUGAAAAGAGAGUCAAAGAGUG
rnacentral:ncRNA from 1 species